rnacentral:rRNA from 1 species
GACGAACGCUGGCGGCAUGCCUAACACAUGCAAGUCGAACGAAACCGUCCGGUCUAUGGGCGCAGGGCUGCUUGACGAGUGGGAACCUGCCCUUAAGUUCGCUGUAACUCCCCGAAGGGUAUCCUAAUACCACAUAAGGUCUUCCGACCAAGGAGUUAUUGCCUUUGGAUGGGGCCGCGUUAGAUUAGCCGGUUGGUAGGGUAAUAGCAUACCAAUGGCACGAUCCAUAGCUGGUCUGAUAGGAUGAUAAGCCAGAAUGGGACUGAGACACGGACUAGACUCGUACGGGAGGCAGCAGUGGGGAAUAUUGUACAAUGGGGGAAGGUGUGAUCCAGCAAUGCGGGGUGAGUGAUGAAGGGCUUAGGGUUGUAAAGCUCUUUUACACGGGAUGAUAAUGACAGUAACGGGAGAAUAAGCUCCGGCUAACUACGUG